rnacentral:rRNA from 1 species
GGAGGGAUCAUUACAGAGUUGCAAAACUCCCAAACCAUUGUGAACGUUACCUUCUACCGUUGCUUCGGCGGGCGGCUCCGGGUCUCCCGGGGCCCCUCGGCCCCCUCGCGGGGCGCCCGCCGGAGGCUACCAAACUCUUGAUUAAUUAUGGCCUCUCUGAGUCUUCUGUACUGAAUAAGUCAAAACUUUCAACAACGGAUCUCUUGGUUCUGGCAUCGAUGAAGAACGCAGCGAAAUGCGAUAAGUAAUGUGAAUUGCAGAAUUCAGUGAAUCAUCGAAUCUUUGAACGCACAUUGCGCCCGCCAGUAUUCUGGCGGGCAUGCCUGUUCGAGCGUCAUUUCAACCAUCAAGCCCCCGGCUUGUGUUGGGGACCUGCGGCUGCCGCAGGCCCUGAAAACCAGUGGCGGGCUCGCUGUCACCCCGAGCGUAGUAGUUUAUCAUCUCGUUCUGGGCGUGCUGCGGGUUCCGGCCGUUAAACCACCUUCAUAACCCAAGGUUGACCUCGGAUCAGGU